UUUUACCCUUCACCCGGAUCCAUCAUCAGCCGUCCAUUUUCUUUCAAUUCUUCACACGGAUCGUGAUCUGACGGAUGAUUUUGUUUUCACACGGAUCCACCUUUCCCCUUCCUUCUCUCCCAUCUCUCUCACAACUCACAUCUCACCAGAUCUUUUCAUCAACCUUCUCUCUCUCUCUCUCUCUCUCUCUGUGGCGACUCAAGCACAUGCCAACGAUUAGGGUUUUUGUAAGAACCGCCACCAUCAUGACUCUGGCAGCGGCUGCUUGUGGUGUUUGAUGUGUAAAUUGGUGAUUUGAACUUAACGGCGGAGGAAAUGUGAAAAAUUAGGGUUCCGCUAGAACCUCAGGCGACGACGACAUAAGCAACAACAAGCAAUUGACUCCGAUGAUGAAGAAUACCAAGACAAUACGUCCACAAACAACCCCUGUCUGGUGAGAUUCGGCCUUUUAAAAUGUCUUCUCAAGGUUUUGGAGCAAUUGAGUGGCCAUUCCCCUGUUUUUUCCAAGGAAAAGUUAAGAUGGUCGGUUCUUGGAAUCGCGAUACUUGCUGCGGUUGUCGGAAGCCAAGCUAUCAUCUUCGGUUUUCGUGACACCAAACAUAUAAGCAAUGCAACAGAGUGUUUUUGUUUUUUGAGGAUCCCACAAACCAGCAGGUGUUUUUAUUUUUGGCUCGUAUAGAAAGCCGAGAGAAAUAGCUGGGUGCAGAAGGAGCUGUUUGCAACUUUGAGCAUCAUCUUGGUGACCGUAGUUUGUUCACUAGGGCUUCCAGUGAUUAUGCCAUCGUUAGCAGUAAGAAUCCUUAUAAUGGCACCACUAGACAUGGAUGUACUUGACCGUCCCACUUGCGCCAUACACUUGUGAAAGAUUAAUAAGGGCUGAUAUACUCUGGCUUCUAACAACAGAGUUCCACACUAUCUAUUGGGUACAAUUAGCCCCAUGGUUUAGUUUACUGCAAAGGAUUUGCGAUUCCUAUCUUUGAAGAUGAGGAAAAUCAACCUAGGCCCAGGACAGUGGAAACAACUGAACCGGAAAAAAGGCUAAAUCUGCUUCAUUUUUGAGAAAUUAGUGCAGAGAUACUAAGGUGACAUAAAGUCCCAUUACCUAAUUAUAUCAUAUUUGGCCCGAAGGUUUUACGGGACGCGAGAGCAUGUUCAGGUGUGUUCUAAGAAAUAUUUUAUAACAUGGAUCAGUUUGGUUUUCAUAUGGAUUGUUACUUUACACAUGUUUUAUAGUUGUUUUUUCGUAUUUUUAACCGGUUUGCAUUCCCCAUUGAAAGUGAAUACAAAAAGCAUCGGCCUAUUUUAAUAUGAAUGGGCGUUGGUGUUAGUUCGAGAGUUAAACGAUGAUGAUCAGUAGCUGUUAUGGAAGUUUCAUAAAAAAUUUCGGGUCGCAGUCAAACUGGUCAACUAUGUCAACAGUGUCUGGUCAACAUUUGAGUCUGGUCAACUGGGUCGACACGAGUCUGUUACGAGAUCAUGGGAAUGUAUAAGUGCGCCAAUAAAUUAUUUAAAAUUACGUAUCUGUUUUGGGUUUGGGGCAUUGGUGCUUCUUGUUGAUAUGGGUCAUUUGAUUGCUGCUGGAUGAUGAUUAGAUUUAGGACCUUAGAUAUGGAACGGUACCAUGCUAGCAAAUGGAUAUUG